UACGGAGGGUGCGAGCGUUGUCCGGAAUCACUGGGCGUAAAGGGCGCGUAGGCGGCUCAUGAAGGCUGUGGUGAAAGUCCGGGGCUCAACCUCGGAUCGGCCGUGGCGACUCGUGGGCUGGAGCACUGUAGAGGCGGGUGGAAUUCCUGGUGUAGCGGUGAAAUGCGCAGAUAUCAGGAGGAACACCGGUGGCGAAGGCGGGUCUCUGGGCCGAAACUGACGCUGAGGAGCGAAAGCGUGGGGAGCAAACAGG
rnacentral:rRNA from 1 species